rnacentral:rRNA from 1 species
CCCUUAGAUGUUCUGGGCCGCACGCGCGCUACACUGUUCGACGCAGCGAGUCUUAACCUUGACCGAAAGGUUUGGGUAAUCUUCAGCAAAGUCGAACGUGAUGGGGAUCGAUCAUUGCAAUUAUUGAUCGUGAACGAGGAAUUCCUAGUAAGUGCAAGUCAUCAGCUUGCGCUGAUUACGUCCCUGCCCUUUGUACACACCGCCCGUCGCUACUACCGAUUGAAUGGUUUAGUGAGAUCUCUGGAUUGACGCUGGCUAGGGGGCGACCCUUGGCCAGGCUGUCGAGAAACUGCUCAAACUUGGUCAUUUAGAGGAAGUAAAAGUCGUAACA